rnacentral:rRNA from 1 species
CCUACGGGGGACAGCAGUGGGGGAUAUUGGACAAUGGGGGGAACCCUGAUCCAGCGACGCCGCGUGAGUGAAGAAGUAUCUCGGUAUGUAAAGCUCUAUCAGCAGGGAAGAAGAAAUGACGGUAUCUGAGUAAGAAGCUCCGGCUAACUACGUGCCAGCAGCCGCGGUAACACGGAGGGGGCAAGCGUUAUCCGGAAUUACUGGGGGUAAAGGGAGCGUAGACGGUGAGGUAAGUCUGGAGUGAAAGGCGGGGGCCCAACCCCCGGACUGCUCUGGAAACUAUGUGACUGGAGUGCAGGAGAGGUGAGCGGAAUUCCUAGUGUAGCGGUGAAAUGCGUAGAUAUUAGGAGGAACACCAGUGGCGAAGGCGGCUCACUGGACUGUAACUGACGUUGAGGCUCGAAAGCGUGGGGAGCAAACAGGAUUAGAUACCCCUGUAGUC